AUGAACGUUGCGCUGAUGCUGCGGUGGGUUUGGCGGAUCUUGAGGGGGGAUGGGGGUCUCUGGCUACAACUGUUGGAGGCCAAGUACUUGCAGGGUCAACCCCUCUUGGCUUGCUCUCUCUCGGUCGGGUCCCAGUUCUGGAAGUCUAUUCGGGCCAUUAAAGAGGAGAUCAGGCUGGGUUUGCGUUUCUCGGUUGGCAAUGGGUCUGGGACCCAGUUUUGGUUGGACCCUUGGUUUGAGGAUGAGCCUCUUCGCCUGCGGUUCCCGAGGCUCUUUGCGAUUUAUGGCGAUCCGACCAUCCUUGUUUCGUCGGCUGCCUUGGAUGAGGGGUGGAACAUUGCGUUCCGCCGAUCAUUCGGAUCCGAUGAGGUUCGGGAAUGGACAGAGAUGAGGGAAGUAGUCCCUCUUCCUCUGUCCCAGGCCCCUGACUCUGUUUCCUGGAGUCUCUCUCCUUCGGGUGAUUUCUCCGUUAGCUUGGCCUAUCAGGCCUUAUGCCGUGUGCCGGUUCUAUAG
rnacentral:rRNA from 1 species